UUCAGCUCCUUAUGAAGCUCGACAGCCCAUUGUCCAGCCUGAGGGACCCUCGUCAGGGGGCCCAGGACCCAAGCCCCUUCGGCACCAGGCAUCCCUCAUCCGGUCCUUUUCAGUGGAGAGAGAACUGCAGGAUAACAGCAGCAGUUACCCUGACGAACCCUGGAGGAUAACAGCAGAACAGCGCGAGUACUAUGUCAAUCAGUUCCGGUCCCUGCAGCCAGACCCGAGUUCCUUCAUUUCAGGUUCUGUGGCCAAGAACUUCUUCACCAAAUCAAAGCUUUCCAUUCCAGAACUCUCUUAUAUAUGGGAGCUUAGUGAUGCUGACUGCGAUGGAGCCCUGACUCUGCCUGAAUUCUGUGCUGCGUUUCAUCUCAUUGUGGCCCGGAAGAACGGCUACCCCCUGCCUGAGGGUCUGCCUCCCACUCUGCAGCCAGAGUACCUACAAGCAGG